rnacentral:rRNA from 1 species
AACGCGAAGAACCUUACCAGGACUUGACAUCCCUCUGAAACUCCUGAUAACGACGGAGCCUCCUUCGGGACAGAGGAGACAGGUGGUGCAUGGUUGUCGUCAGCUCGUGUCGUGAGAUGUUGGGUUAAGUCCCGCAACGAGCGCAACCCUUGCUGUUAGUUGCCAUCAUUAAGUUGGGCACUCUAACGGGACUGCCGGGGACAACUCGGAGGAAGGUGGGGAUGACGUCAAAUCAUCAUGCCCCUUAUGUUCUGGGCUACACACGUGCUACAAUGGUCGGUACAAAGAGCAGCAAGACCGUGAGGUGGAGCAAAUCUCAAAAACCGAUCCCAGUUCGGAUUGUAGGCUGCAACUCGCCUACAUGAAGUUGGAGUUGCUAGUAAUCGCGGAUCAGAAUGCCGCGGUGAAUGCGUUCCCGGGUCUUGUACACACGC